CAGUAGCCGCGGUAAUACGUAGGUGGCAAGCGUUGUCCGGAAUUACUGGGCGUAAAGCGCACGUAGGCGGCUUGGUAAGUUAGAGGUGAAAGCCCAGGGCUCAACCCUGGAAUUGCCUUUAAGACUGCCGAGCUAGUAGGUGAGAGAGGUGAGCGGAAUUCCGAGCGUAGAGGUGAAAUUCGUAGAUAUUCGGAAGAACACCAGUGGCGAAGGCGGCUCACUGGCUCAUUCUAGACGCUGAGGUGCGAAAGCGUGGGGAGCAAACAGGAUUAGAUACCCCAGUAGUCCCUGUCUCUUAUAC
rnacentral:rRNA from 1 species